CGGUAACAUUUCUAGCUUGCUAGAAGAUGACGAGUGGCGGACGGGUGAGUAAUGCUUGGGAACUUGCCUUUGCGAGGGGGAUAACAGUUGGAAACGACUGCUAAUACCGCAUAAUGUCUUCGGACCAAACGGGGCUUCGGCUCCGGCGCAAAGAGAGGCCCAAGUGAGAUUAGCUAGUUGGUAAGGUAACGGCUUACCAAGGCGACGAUCUCUAGCUGUUCUGAGAGGAAGAUCAGCCACACUGGGACUGAGACACGGCCCAGACUCCUACGGGAGGCAGCAGUGGGGAAUAUUGCACAAUGGGGGAAACCCUGAUGCAGCCAUGCCGCGUGUGUGAAGAAGGCCUUCGGGUUGUAAAGCACUUUCAGUUGUGAGGAAAAGUUAGUAGUUAAUACCUGCUAGCCGUGACGUUAACAACAGAAGAAGCACCGGCUAACUCCGUGCCAGCAGCCGCGGUAAUACGGAGGGUGCGAGCGUUAAUCGGAAUUACUGGGCGUAAAGCGCACGCAGGCGGUUUGUUAAGCUAGAUGUGAAAGCCCCGGGCUCAACCUGGGAUGGUCAUUUAGAACUGGCAGACUAGAGUCUUGGAGAGGGGAGUGGAAUUCCAGGUGUAGCGGUGAAAUGCGUAGAUAUCUGGAGGAACAUCAGUGGCGAAAGGCGACUCCCUGGCCAAAGACUGACGCUCAUGUGCGAAAGUGUGGGUAGCGAACAGGAUUAGAUACCCUGGUAGUCCACACCGUAAACGCUGUCUACUAGCUGUGUGUGCCUUUAAGGCGUGCGUAGCGAAGCUAACGCGCUAAGUAG
rnacentral:rRNA from 1 species